UCCGCUCGCAGAAAGCUCCGCUCGCAGAAAGCUUCACAAAAUCUUGGAAAGAACUCCACUUCAUUUGCCUAUUUUAAAACAGGAUCCGUGUCACGUGACUUCAAACUUAACACCUCAUUGCCUGCUUCUGAGACAGGUUUGAUCGCUUCAGUCUUCAUUUACCGGAAACAUGUUCAACAGUGGGCUGCUGCUUUUGAUCCUGGCAUGGAUGUUUGGGGGCAGCUAUGGGGCAGUGCAACCUACCCGUCCCAUACCUCCCACCAACGCCACUGUUCCUCCCAACACCACCGCUGCUCCUUCCAUCAAAACCAUCCAUUCGUCUAUCCAUUCCCGACCGCCUGUCUCUUUUGAGAUUGCGAGGGGGCUAGAUUCUAUCCCAGCUGCACUCAGGCGGAAGGCGGGGUACACCCUGGACAAGUCGCCACCUCAUCGCAGGGCCAACAGAGACACUUCCCACCAAAUCUAUCACCAUCACCACCACCAACACCAGCAACACCAACACCAACCCCACCAACAACACCAUCACCAUUACCAUGACUGGGACUGCCCCAAUAACCACUUCUGUCCCUGCACUAAUGGCGGUGCCACUAUCCAAAAGCACUCACAGAUACAAGCUUUGGUUAUCACUGCAAGUUUAGCAGCUUUGCUUGCACUAUGAGGAACAGCUGCCAACACAUUCGAGCGCGCUCGUCUACUCGAUAUCUCUCAUAAUGAUUUGUCUUCUACUCACAUAACCCUAAUCAGAAUCUAUGGUUUGUAAAGAAAAAAAGUCAGUCAAUUAAACAUACUGGUGAUGCCGAGUCAAAAUUGUCACUAUGUAAUAUGUAUUAUUAUCAUUUGGUGUCAUAUUCUGCUAAAUUAAUCAACUGAAUGAUUGCAUAUUUUCCUUUAUAUUUAAUAGUUUAGAAGUUGUAUACAUUAAUUGUUAGAAAUAAUGAAUUGUGUUGUUGUUCAGCUACCAAAAUGUCCACUGGCUCCAGCCCUGUACUCUACAAAGCUUGUUCAUGUGUCGGCCGAUCUGAAGCCUGGUGAGACCAGACCAUGGACCCUUGUUGGAUGUUGAUCAUGUUUUUAAUGGCUUUCAUUAAACUCAGACAAAAAAAUAUGCCAAAAA